UAUUUAUCUGAAAUUUAUAUAACUGGGUGUCCUGUAUUUUUAUUUGCUAAAUCUGGCAACCCUACACAGGAGACCAAAUCAUUCUUUGGACGACCUCAAUGACCAGGCCAAUAUUUACACUGAGGGCCGGGGGAAAUCAAGUUGAAGGUCACUUUCAGAAAUGAAGAGUGAAACAGCACAGAGACUUUGCUAAGCAGGAUAGAACUUGGCAACUGGAGGAUAUCGACCCUCAAGUUUUCUCAUCCAUUGGCUGUUUAUUUCCAGCUGUUCUCCUCCAGUACAGCUGAGGCUGUUUUUGCCCCCUCUCCCUGCCAAAAAGGUUAGGACACAGGGCUCACAUUGGGACUAUGGGUAACCUGGCCUGUGUGAGGCCUCCUGAAGAUUUUGGAGGUUCGGUGGUGGACAGUGAACCUCCUGGAGCACUAAGGAACCAGCAAAGCCAAAAUGAAACACAGUCCGUUCUGACCCACCCCUCACUGUGUGCUUGGGAAGCCACCAGAACAAGAUUCCUGCUAGUUUCUCAGAGUCGAAUCUGAAAUAUUUGGCCAGAAGCUAGAUUGUGGUUGGACCAAUCUCUUACAGCAACUCCUGCCCAUUUCAUCCGUCCCCAAAGGCCAGCGGUGGCGGCGGGGGCACUGAAAGGCUGCUGGGAGCAGCCCCGGACCCCGUGCAUCUGGACAACCUCCUGGGCCUCGCGGGUGCUGAGCCAACAUUUUUGAGUGUAUAUUUUAAAACCACAGCUUCAAAAGUAUAAAAAUAGUGUGAAAAAUAAAAACAGGACUCACAAUCAGAGCCUCAAUCACUCUGCUAGUUAGAGAGGAUAGAGAAAUAAUAAAAUUAGAGGAACCAAACUGAAAGCUUUAAGAGCGUUCCCUUGCUUGGCAAGGAGAAUCCUGGGGCCAGACUCGUGCAGCGCCCUUCCCUAAGUGCUUAAAGCAGCUCGGCUUCCACUUAAAACGUCUGUUAUCACUCCUGUCUCCUCCGGGGAGUUAUUUAUGAAGAAGGUUUCCCAGCUAGCCUGCCAAGCAAGGCAUCUCUAACAGGGGCUGGGCAGGCAGGAGGAGCUGAAUGAGAAGCCCACAGAGGCUGUGCUGUACGAUCCCACUUCUUCCAACACGCCCAGGCUGUGACUCAAAACUUGAAAACAACCCGAAUCCUUUUCCAAACACAAACCCAAUGUCUUCUGUCAGGUUCCAUAUAUUUUCCUAACUCCAUUCCCCACCCCGACCCACUCCACAGCAGAAACCAAUUUUCUUAACAGAGCGGGUUCUUGGGAGUUUUCUAAGUGUUCUCAUUUGGAACAGAUUAAGGGGGCGAGGACGAUAACUUGAUUUUUUUUUUUUUACUUUUGAAAA